GCUGGACACAGUUUAUCGAAACAAAUAUGGAUCCAGUUUUAAUCGCACAGAGGUUCUAGGUUUCAGGAAAGGUUCGAUUGAGGUAAACGCUGUCCUGAUAUUUAACAAUGCCAGCUCAGUCCCUGAGUCUAGUGCAGUGGUUGCAACCUUGAUAGAGAAUGUCUCAAGCAACAGCUCUAAUUUCUCUCUCCCAGUGAACACAACUUCUAUCGUGGCAACAAGAGUUGUUUCAGCCUCAGCUCCAACUCCAACACCAUAUACGGUCAUGAACGCAACUUCGGCCCCCUCAAACAGGUCAACUACAACCAUGGUUGUCAAUGCAACAUCGGAUCAUGUAACACAAAGCAAUACAACUGCAACCCCAUCAUUGUCAACUUCCCCAGUAGUCAAUGCAACAGUUCCUCCAACAAGUGCAGUAGUAAAUACAUCUUUAUCUCCAACUGCCCGAUUACCAACUAUCCAAGUGCCAACUACAAUGGCAUCCCCUGCAACAGAGGCGCCACUGACCAGCCCACA